rnacentral:lncRNA from 1 species
CUGCUGUCAAUACUUUGGUUCAAAAAUAUCGUUGCAGUCAAUACUUGGAUCCAAAAAUACCCUACAGUUACUAAAUGAGUCAAUAAUGCCCUUUUUGAAUAAAUAUAUUAUUUCUUUUCUUUUUAAACACAUAUUUUUUCUAAUAAAUGUCUUAAAAAGAAAAAAUAAAUAAUACAUUUAUUUGGAAAAUGAGCAUUUUUGACCCAUUAAGUAACAAUAAGGGCAUUUUUGGAUCAAAGUAUUGACGACAAAAAUAUUUUUGGACCAAAACUUAAACGGAUGGCAUUUUUGUUCAUUUCACAUAGUUUAAAAACAUUUUUGACAUUUUUCCCUUAUUUUAAAAUGGGUUAAUGCUUGAAUGAGUUGAGGUUGAACCCGAAUCAUACUCUCUUGAGCUCAACCCAUAAAAUUCUAGACAGAUUAAGCGGAUUACCUAUAUUUGAACUCAUUUUGACACGCCUACAAGAUCCACAAAUACAUUGAUCUGUUAGUGUUGACAUGCUUAUAGCUAAUAAAUUAUUCUGUGUGGAUUAUUUGCUUUUAAACUUUUGUUUAAAGUGAAUUAAUUAAUUUAGAUUUAAUUAGGAUUAGUUCACUAAUUGGGGUUUGAUUCAUUGGUGAAAUGACAAAAAAGAAGUUCUAGCUUAAGUUUUCAUUUGUAAUUGCUAGAUUAAUGAAAUAAGUGCUCUAACAUUAAGCUCUAAGCCAGAGCAUGCAUAAUUUAUCGUCUUAACUAAGAUCAAAAUUUUGCGUCUUAGAUAAAAAUAAUUAAUAAAACGAUAAAGUUGCAUUUACGCAUCUAGAUCCAAAUUCUCUUUAAAAGUGUUAAUAUUUGAUUCAACAAACGAGUAUCAAUCUUCAGGUGUGAUACAUAAGGAUAGGUCGUGUUUAUGCAUCUUGAUAAGUGUAUAUCGUAGUUGAAAUCGCAACUUUGUUUCUUAGUUAAGACCAACAAAAUACAACAAUUGAAGUGAAUCAUAGCCAAAUGAUUUAUCCAAUAUUUAUUUAAGUCAAGUAUAAUUUUGACAAAGGUGAUCGUGUCAGAACCAAGAGAUUCAUGGGACGUCCUCAUACCAUCUCUGAUCAACAAUAUUUCUUACACGAUCUUUUGUUUUCAUAGACCAACAAAAAGAAUCAUUUCCUUUUAAUCAGGAGUUCAAAAAGGUGACGUAAAACACCAUAACUCAAGCGGAGUCACUAUAAUUCAAAAAUGAAAUGGCACUUUCUAUUGCUCUAUGAAAA